CGUGAAGAGCAAGUCCUACCUACACGAACGACACCAACGCAAAAGCACAGUGCCUGUCUCCGGAGUGGCACUCGUGGGAGCUACCCAACCGAGUAUGCAGCGUAUCUCUGUCGAGCUCAAUCAGGCUCUAACAAGCCAAAGUCAAGUAGCUAGGGUCAAAACAGGUCUAAAAACCAAAACCCACGUGCCCUCGGCACAAUCUGAGACCAAAAACAGGAAUCUGUGUCCACCGUCCACCUCGACGGCACCCGAC
rnacentral:lncRNA from 1 species